CGCCCUUAUCAAGGUGUUUAAUGACAUCCAUAUAAAUACAGACUGUGGAAGAACCACCGUGCUGGUAUUAUUCAUAGACGCGGGAAGGAGGGUGCUGCGCGGGCUGCAGCCUCCCUCGUCAUAGCAUCAGCCCCCCAUGGUGGGGGGCUGUGGAGUAACAUAAUAUUGUACUUAAAAACGUGAAAUUAUUUAUCUAUUUAUUUUUUAAAACACUGUGUUUGAUAUGGGAUUAAAAUGAUGGGCUGUGUAUGAGAUAUAAACUAAUGAUUUUGUUUGUGACGCUCAACCCUAACCCUAACCCAAACCCUAACCGGAGCCGUGGGGUGGUCCGCUGGAAUCAGCGGGACGCAAAGAAUUGUUGGCAGUGUUACAGAAAGUUGAGGUGCAGAAAAAAACUCCGGUGGCCGGAUUACAGAGGCGCUUGUGGAUUUGUGCCACGGCAUGGAAGCAGCAGUAUGAAGCUGGCCAACAAUUAAAAACUCAGCAGUUAAAAGACAGACAGGCAAUGACUGAGCUGCAGUCUGCUGAGUCGCUGUAUCGGCAGCAUGUGCAAAUGCUGACUAAUCAGCUGGAACAGAUGACCAGUGUUGCAGAAAAAGCUGUGGCCCAGGUGUCUGUGUUAACAAGGAAAAAACAGGGGAAAAACCCCCGCCGUUUUCCUCUGAAAAAAGUCCGUUCGUUUGUAGCUGGAUUGGGGUCUGGGUGGGAUCCCAAAAGCUGGGACGGUAAUAUGUGGGAUGAUGAGGAGGACAGUGAUUCUGGAGGUCCUCCAGAUCCACCUCCUUUCCCUCCAUUGGGGGUUAAACCCGUCGUCCGAAGGAGAAGAGAGCAGCAGCAUAUACCCGCAGCUUUCCGGCAGCGGAUAGAUGCUCAAGGUAAUGAGGUAAUUGAUGCUGCGGGAGAACCUGUUAUGGAAUGGGUGGAACAGCCGCAACCGCCGGCGGUGUCACGGAAGAAGAUUACUCGCAGGAUGAAGUUGCUCAUAUCACUAAAAAAUUAAGGCAGCAUCCGGGCGAACCCACUGAUCUAUGGGUGGCUCGACUGCUGGAUGAAGGUGCAGAACAGAUUAAAAUAGAUCACGGAGAUGGCAUGGCAUUUGGUGGUCUGAGCACUGAUGGGAAUGUAAAUGCUAACUACAGGCAAGAAGCGAGAAAUUUGGGGGAUCAGGCGAGAUCAUUGUUUAACGUGUGGUCUGAGGCAGUACGAGCAACGUGUCCUAAUGUAUCUGAUUGGCCCGAAAUCUCUGGACCAUGGUUAACAUUAAAGGAGUGUGUGCAGAGGCUGACGAGGCUGUGUGUGCGUGAUUUGUUACCAGUGGGGAUGGUGGCUGGAUAUCAGCAAGUGGCUGUUCUGAAGGUGGUGAGAGAUCAGUAGAUUAAAACUGCCCCACAGCAUUAUCGGGCAGCUAUGCUUACUGUGAUGCUGGGAGCUCCAGAUGCCCCGAUGGAAACCAUUAAGGCUCGAAUCAUGGAGCUGGGGAAUCUGGGAGAAUGGGGCAAGUAGGAGGAAUGCAGACCACAAGUUCAACAAACUCCGGUCCGCAGGCCGCAAAGGGAGCGGGGGAGAAAUGAACAGGGCCCACCACGUAACAUGUUGUGGAAGGCACUGAUUAAUGCUGGGGUGCCUGCUUCAGAGAUACACGCAUUACCUACUGAUGAGUUGAGACAGAUGUGUCAAAGGAGAGGCUUAAAAGUUAACUGUGCAGGAUUUGGUGCUGAGCUGGACCCAUUAAAUUCUUUGAUUCAGCUGUUGCUAGAGGCGAUUCAUCCCUCACCAUCGGAUCCACCUGCUGAAGAAUCUGAGUCUGUUGUGCGCAGAAAACCUGCUAAGGUGGUUGAGACUGAGGUGUCAGACUCUGAGGAAUCCUCGGGCAAAGAGGUGAAAGUAAGGAGAGUGAGAAAAAGGAAAAGAAAGAACAAAGAUAGAAGGAGGAGCAACAUGUACCCUGAUCUGACGGAUGUGAUGGAGUUUAACUAGGAUGAAGGCAGAGCCCCGCCAAUUCGGAUCACAAAUUGGUCAAUUGAUGAUAUAAGAACGACA